AUAUAUAUAUCAACCACUCUUUUGUUGAGUGGUUUGGAUGUGAGGGUUUGCUGGAUUCUUUAAAGGGUUCAGCUCCCUUGAAAUGCAUUAGCAGAACAACCUGUUUCAUUGGUGUGAUAACUAUCUACACUAUUGAAUGCAAUGGCCAGUUCAGCUUUCUAAUGGUCCUUGGACAAUUUAUCAUUA
rnacentral:misc_RNA from 1 species